CUCAAGCUUAGAGUGAUCCUUUUGAUUUAAGCAAGUGUUUGGAUUAUGGGCGUUUUGUUGCCUGUUGCCGGGGGCCAGUCAGCCCCAGUGUGGUCUUCUUUUCUGUUGUGGGUUCCUCUGGAGGCAGCGAACAGGCAAGAGUGUCGGCGGAGGCAUCCAUGUUAAAGAUACGAAUAAUAGGAGCUGAAGAGAGGCUCGGCAGCUAGCUGCUCUUAUACAGGACCCAAGUUCAAUUCCCAGGACACACAUGACAGCUUGCAAUCAUCUAUUAAACUGAAUUUUAGAAAA